rnacentral:rRNA from 1 species
GGAGCGCGACGCUCUCCCCCAGGACGAAGCCAUGCAUGCCCGCUCACCCGGGACGCGGCGGACGGCUCAGGACAACGGUUGCACCCCCCGCGGCGGUCCCUGCUAGCCGGACACCGCUGGCAACCCGGCGCCAAGACGUGCGCGCAAGGGCGGGCGCCCGCGGG